CAUUGGGCGGGCCGGGUCAAAGCUAAAACCUUCUGCCCACUUCUCGGGCCGGAAUUUUUGUGCCCAAACCUGCCCAAAAUAAUCGGUUCGUGCGGGCUUUUCGAGCCAUUUUUCGGGCCGGGCCUAAAAAAAACUAAAAAUGCAUAAAAAAAAGCAUUCCCAAACCCGCCCAAAAAAAAUAAAUUUUCGGGCAGGGCCGGGCCCAACCCGAUUUUGAGACAAAAAUUUCUGCACAAAAUCGGGCCGGGCUAACUUUGAUCACCUCUAAUUUAUCCCCAAAAUUUGCCCUCACAAAGUUAAUAAGACAAAAUGUUAGUUUUCUCCUAAUUUUCCUUUUCUUUUCCCUUUUCUUUUCUCCAUUCUUUUUCCUUUUUCCCUUUUGUUUACUUGCCGUAGGAUUUUGGGUGGUGAAUUCAUGAAGUGUUGCUGCUGUCCACGUGGCACGAGCUGCCACCCUUGGACGUCCGACCACCGCCGGCUAUCGAUCACCUUACCGGCGACCUGCUAUCGACACACAACCACCCCCACCGAGACUUAGUUCGGGAAUUAUUCUAGUGUAUACGGCUACUUUAAGAGCUUAUUCGAGCCCUACAUACGACGACCCAUUUCAAAUGACGAGUAGUGGGGACAAAGUAAAGAGAAGCUUUUCAGGUGAUGAAGCAUAUCCAUGUUGGGGAAUGAGUGAAGAGUGAAUCUUGCUUAACUUAUAUAAGAAUAUGAUAUGUUUUAUUUGCUUUAAUUAUUAUUUAUUUACUUGUGAGACUAACGCAAUGUUUUAAAUAUUUGAUUUGGGUUUUGAAAGGGCCUACAAGGGUUCCAAGUUG